rnacentral:rRNA from 1 species
GUAAGGAAUAUUGGACAAUGGAGGCAACUCUGAUCCAGCCAUGCCGCGUGCAGGAUGAAGGCCCUAUGGGUCGUAAACUGCUUUUGUACGAGAGAAAACCUAUUUACGUGUAGAUAGUUGAUAGUAUCGUAAGAAUAAGGAUCGGCUAACUUCGUGCCAGCAGCCGCGGUAAGACGAAGGAUCCAAGCGUUAUCCGGAUUCAUUGGGUUUAAAGGGUGCGUAGGCGGAUUUGUAAGUCAGUGGUGAAAGCCGAUAGCUCAACUAUCGAACUGCCAUUGAUACUGCAGAUCUAGAAUAUAGAUGAUGUUGGCGGAAUAUGACAUGUAGCGGUGAAAUGCAUAGAUAUGUCAUAGAACACCGAUUGCGAAGGCAGCUGACAAAACUAUUAUUGACGCUGAUGCACGAAAGUGCGGGGAUCAAACAGGAUUAGAUACCCUGGUAGUCC